rnacentral:lncRNA from 1 species
UCAUCAUCAAGGCAUUAAAAUAGUUCUCUUUAAAUGACAAACUUAGCUAAUACAAACAACUCAUGCAACAAGAUUACAAGAUGAAGAAACUUUACAUUUGUUGUUUCCGACUUCAAAUCUAUGUUCAAUCACUCAAAUUUUUUAUGAACCAAAAAACAAUAAAAUAGACCCACUAACAUAGAAUUAAAAAAGGUAUAGAUCUGAAACUAAAAUAAAAAUGAAAAGGCAAAGGUUUGUUAUGAAAGGAGAAGAAAGG